rnacentral:lncRNA from 1 species
CUCUUCUGUCUCUCCUCUCUCUCUCCUCUCUCUCUCUUUUCUCUGUCUCAGUCUCUCUCUCUCUCCCUCCCUCCCUCCCUCUCUCCCUCCCCACCUCUUUCUAUCUCUCUCUCCUCUNNNNNNNNNNCUCCCUCUCUCCCUCCCCACCUCUUUCUAUCUCUCUCUCCUCUCUCUUCUCUCUCUGUUUCUCUCUCUUCUCUCCUUUCUCUUACUCUCCCCCUCUCUUCUCUCUCUCUCUUUUCUCUGUCUCAGUCUCUCUCUUCUCUCUCUCUGUCUCACUCUCUCUCUCUGUCUCUCUCUCUCUCUCCCUCCCUCCCCAGCUCUUUCUAUCUCUCUCUCCUCUCUCUCUUCUCUCUCUGUUUCUCUCUCUCUUUCUCUCUCUUCUCUCUGUCUCUCUCUCCCCCUCUCUCCUCUCUCUCUCUUUUCUCUGUCUCAGUCUCUCUCUCUCUCUCUCUCUCUCUCUCUCUCUCUCUCACACACACACACACAGACACACACACGUACACACACACACACAUACAUAUGUGAAUGGUGAAUUCCAUCCUUCCAGAAACACAGAAAUCACUAGAGUCUAGUGACCAUGGACCAGUGGCCAGGGGGAUGGUCCAGAAGGCAGCACAGAGGCUCCUCAAGAUUAUUUGCAGAUCUUGUCAAUCAAGUAAUGAAGUGCGCUUUCAGCCUUGUGGAAGAGCCCCUCAAUGGACUUUGGGAGCACAGGAUCCCCAGAAGGGGCCAAGCCAGAGAAGAAAGGGCAUUCCCACCGUGAAGCUGGGAGGGGCUGGGGGCGCUGGUGCCGAGACCCCAGCGUGUGCUCCUGGGAGAGGCUUUGGACAUGCUGUGUGUUCUGGGACCUGGGGAGAGCCUUCCCAAAGGGGCGAGUCAACACCCCUGGGUGUGACUUGUCGGGAGAUGAGCCUUGAAGGAUGGAGCUCGUCUUUGUGGGUGCAGAGAAUGGGAUUGGGGCGGCUAGGUGGCGCGGUGGAUAGAGCACCGGCCCUGGAUUCAGGAACGCUCGAGUUCAAAUCCAUCUCAGACACAUAACCCUUCCUAGCUGUGUGACCCUGGGCAAGUCACUUAACCCCAUUACCUAACAAAAAAAAAUGGGAUCCUCAUAGACCCCAAGCGCUGGCCCAGCAAAGGAGACGCGUCUGACAUGGAAGAAGGGAGACUCGGUGCCCGGCUCCAGAAACUGACCCCUCAGGAAGAGGAAGUGAGUUCACCAGGUCCAGUAGGCUGUAUUCCACACAGAAGAAUCACAGAAUGCCUCGGAGACGGCAUUUACUCUGAUUUCCUCAGAACCACAGAACGUCACAACUGGAAGGGGCCUCAAUGACCAUCCAGUCCAAGAAUCCUCCCUCGCCGCUCUAACCAGGAGCCAGCCUCUGAUCCAGGGAGAGGGACCCCUCCCCCCAGGUGGCACCUCCUCCUGUGCGUCUGCUCUCCCUAUGUGUCAAGGUUAAAUGCUCUUCUUUGUGGCUUCUAUUCUUUGCACUGAGUUCUGCCUUUGGGGCCAAUCAAUAAACAUUUAUUAACUGCCUACCA